AAAAAAAAAAAAGAAAAAUUUCAGCAUCGACAAUUUCCAUCCAUCCAUUUUCCAACCCGCUCCCAUCCUUUCAACCCUGAUGGGUGAAAAUGACGAUUUUCAUUUCAUUGUUUGUGUGCACUGUUACUGUUACAUGCAAAAAAAAAUAUAAAGUACACAAAUAAACAAGCAACAAAACAUUUCCAGUUUAAUCAUAUAUACUUACACAUACUUGUAGUUUAUUUAUUGCCUCGGUUCACAAUACGUUUAUUUGCGUAUUUAUUUCGUUUUGUCAGAAAUAUUCCUCCAUACCAUAAAACAUGCAUCCAGUCCUGGUAAGGAAACUCUUCUCUAACGAUGUUUCUAUUUCCUAUACAUCACACAUAACUUGCAUUUCAAAUGUAAAUGAGUUAUCCUAUAUCACUUACUACUGAAUCGUUUUUCACAAAGAUAUCUCAUAGAAGAAUUAGAAUAAAAAUGAAAAAGCCGCAAAUCAAAACAUAUAAAAGGAACAGAAAUACUAUCAUGUGAUUGCACAAAAAUUACACACCCAUGUAAACAGUAAAGUAUACUAUCCGCGCAAUCUGGGCAGAUGGUAGUUGUUUUAAGGGGCAUUGGGAUUUGUUCUUGUGUCCUCUUUUCUGAAUGCAUUUAUUGGCAAACUAUUCGUAGGAGUCAAAGCCAGGUCGACGCGUCGUCAACACGGGGACGGGGGUUUGGGCUUAAAAAUAAAGGCUACAACAUGGACAAUGAUUCAAAACAUAGCAAGAACGAAACACCAGUAAUAAUGAUCAAAAAGGCUUAGCAAAGUUAAAAGAAGCACGGCGAAAGUUAAACGAUCUAAAGGGCACCGGGACUGCAGCUCUCUGUGACGGCGUCCCCUACGUCUGGUAGAAUUCAACGUAUACCCAUCUGUCAAUAAUAGCCCACAAAAUACCGCCCUCUGCUGUUCAUCAGCAUAUAUGACUUGAGUGAUGCACUCCUCGCUCCUGGCACAUAUUUCCAUAGCUGGUCUCUUGCUGGGGUAAACAAAGAAAGAAGGUGAAUCUUUUUGACGUGCACUUAUUGGAUUGUGUUUUUUCAUAACUUGCAUGCGCUGAGAAGUGUCAGCUUUGGGGACUCCUUGGUAAUUGUUUAAUGAUACUUGUGUUUCAGUGAAGUUUGUGAUUAUAGUAGGACUGGAAGGUUAUUUCACAGAAUUUCAUGUCUCUGUCAUGUUCAUUUUGCUUAUUUUUACUCAAUGAAGUUACCUAAUACGUUAUAUGACGUGAUAGAGAAAAAUUAUUUUCAUUUUUGAAUUCAGCACCAACAAUGUAUAAACAUCAAACAAAAUAAUCAAAACAAUUUUUUAAACUAUAUCUGUGAAAUACCAACCGAUGCUCUAAUGUGUAGGCAUUUUUGGACACGAAUUUUAUCCAGCAAUCCUAAAGGGGUCUGCCAGAAUCUCAUUGCAUUGUUGUCAAGUUUAUAAAAUUCCACAGUUUACCCCUUUGAACCAAAUAGUAAUUUUAGGUCAUUUUUGUUUUUAGCUCUUAUUAUUUAAAAGACAUUUGCAAGAAAACUCAUCAAACCUACUUAAAAUUGGCUUAUUUUAAGAAAUGGUGAAGGGAGCUAAAAACGAAGCAACCUCUGACCUGACACCCUCCCCCACAACUCAGCCCCGCACCCAACCCCCGACGUGGGUUUCAAUUUGUGUCGAUACGUGCCUGAAGACAUGCUUUAUUUACUUCUCCUUCCUUCCCUUUUGUCCCUUUAUUUUGAUUCGUCUUUCAUGACACUCAUUGUCACUCGUCUCCUGUAACGAUUGAAACUGUGUGUUCUUCCGUCACCCUCUAGAUCGGGUCUUCAGUGUUCAGUGAGUGCUUAAUCAUCUCAUGGACCCUGUAAACAUACGGGCCAGCACUCUGCGUGAAAAAGUAGGAUUGAUUCUCUUUUCUUAACCAUUACUAUAAACCAACUACUUUAUUACAAAGUACAUACAAUAAAUAACAUAUAAAAUAUAUAAUUUUUGGGCACCGCAAUCCUUUAAAACAGCCACUUCCCGCAACUGUUUUUACUCUCAAAUCCACGUAUUGAAAAUUUCAGCAUAGACAAUUCACCAUUUAUAAAAUUAGUUCUCGCUGGAGCCAACCCUCUCAACCCUGAUGGGUGAAAAUGACGAUCUUCAUUUCACUAUUUGUGUGCACUGUUACAGAAAUACAUGCAAAAUAUUAUAAAGUACACAAAUAAACGAGCAACAAAAGAUUUCAUAACCAGUUUAAUAAAAUAUGCUUACAUAUACUUGUUUAUUUAUUGUCACGUUUUGCAAUACGUUUAUUUGCGUAUUUAUUUUGUUUUGUCAGAAAUAUUCCUCCCUACCAUAAAACAUGUAUCACACAGGUCGCUAAUGUAAUUGUAACAAAAAAAAAAACUAAUACAAUACAAUUUUUUCUAACUAAUGCGUGUGCAUUGUUUCAACAUAUAGUGCUUAUUUUAAAAGAGCAUCCUCCUUUACAUUUGUAGAGCCACUAAUUGCAUUAGAAGGUCGCGGAGGCGGAGGACAGCCCACUCUCCACUCAACCAAUCCCGUUGGUGCCUUUAUUUUCAGCCAAGUCUGCCUUUUUUUUAAUAACUCAUUCAAUCUUUUCAGUAAGUGUGCUGGUUAAAACCACCCAGAGAAAUAUUUACCUUUUUUCUCUGUGCUUUCUCAAAUGCGAUUACAGGAUGCACGCCUCACCCAAAAAAGUGCAUGUGGCAUUUAAGCGCAGCGUUAUGGGGUUUCCAUUACUCGAUUAGCCUAAGCCUCAGGUUCGUUUCCUUACUCUCGAUUAUGUUGCGCCUCACCCUUUCUCUCACAUAAUCAGGGAGGCUUUCGUGUUUGUAAUCCUGCACAGGCUGGGUCGAUUUUAAAUUUUUGUUUUCAUACAAGUUUCGUGCCUCAGUCUUUAACCAAACUGCUUAGCCCCAGCACCGUCCGGUCUAGAGUUGUGAAAUGUAAUAUAAUAGUGAGGACAUGAUUACACAUCGUCCAGUCAAACUCUUUAUCAGUACCGAUGGUAAAUUUAAGUUAGUAAUUGAUUAUAUUAAACCAUGUUGUAUUAUUGAUUAUCCAGUCUUAUUUCCAUUUAUGCACGUUCUAAACCCGUUUAUCCAGAGCUGGCUCUCAGGGGAGCUGGAACCUACCCCAGUAAGUAUUGAGAAUAAUGUGGCUAAGGCUAUAGUUGUCUACAUUUUAACGUAUUUUAAUCUGUCCAUUCGUCCACCCAUUGGAACACUAUUGCUUAUUUAUUUGACAAUCUUUCCUUGUUAUAAAUAAAUAACAUAAAAUUGAUCCUCCUCUGGUUUCUUCGCUAGUAUAAUCCGAAAUGUACAUAUAUGCCAUAUUUUCUAAAGUAUUAUUAACCACUCAUGUUCCAACUCAAGCAUCUCUCAGGACAGCUGCCCCCUGCUCCCGCAUCACAAAUGGACAUGAUCUAUGCUUUCCGCCUGAAUACAUUAGGGAAUAGUUUGUCACAGUUUAUUGUAAAAGAGACGUUAUCUGUCUAAGCCAAUCGGCACGUAGCAAGUGACGAAAUUACGGGUGUGCCCGAAAGUCAGUCAGUGUCGUGACACACUGUAAAGGCAGAAGAGUCUGGAUGUGCAGGAGCUCAACUGAUCAUUUAUAACGCAGCCUUCCAGGAGUUUUGGUGUCUUGAGUUCAACGUGAGCAGUUCUCUUCCAGAUCCAUUUGGAUAUGGCUUACAUCUGGCCCAAAGUUGGUCUACUGCUGCUUUCUGGCCUUCUGUCAGUCUACUGUCAAAUUCCAGGAGGUCUGGAGUCUGUUCCAGUGAAUGGGACUGAUGUGGUUAAUGCAGCUGAAUAUGCUGUGCAGGAAUUCAACUUCCAAAAUAAUGACUAUAUUGUCCUACAGAAGGAAAUUGUGAAUGCAAAACGACAGGUUGUGUCUGGGCUAAUGUACUACUUAGAUGUUGCGAUCCAGUGUACAUAUUGUAAGAAGGGGGAACCCAUCAACUCUGUUUGCACCUCCUGUAAUGGCCAGAAGGUCUGCCUUUUCCAAGUAUGGGAACAAGCCUGGUUGGACUUAAUACAGCUGGUGAGGGCUGAUUGUCCUUCUGACUGGAGCUGAAGAACAAAUGUGUAAUAUGUGCAAAAUAUCUUGGUGCACAACAGCUACACUAAUUUAGCAUUCUGUAAAGCCAAACAUUCUCAAACCAUUAAUAUGAAGAGUUUUGGAAUCAAGUGAUUUAACAGAUUUGGCUGCAAAGAACAACCAAAAGUAAUACGUAGAAAUAACGUUGGAGCUCAGGUGAACUUGUGCUUUUUGCAGUUCCAUGGGUUCCACUGAUUAACAUGACACUCCAAAUAAGCAAGCUAACACAUCACUAUUAAUAAAUCAUUAAAAAAAAGACACCAAAUGAAUGAUCAUUAAAGUUAAAAGUGUAUUGUAACAGACAAAAUGUUACAUUUGUGAAAUAUGGAAAAUGCUUUUUUCUGUUUUUAAUAUUGUGUUCUCUGAUUAAUUUUGACAACUGUCCUUUUAAAUAAAGUUCUCUUAGUCUGCUCUUGUGCUAGUAGGAUCUUUCUUCACUUGACUUUCUAGAGCACUAGUCACUCAAAAUCUGUGAAGUUGUUCAACUACUAUAAUAAAGGUUUAUGUUGUUGAA